GUGCCAGCAGCCGCGGUAAUACGGAGGGUGCAAGCGUUGUUCGGAUUUACUGGGCGUAAAGGGCGCGUAGGCGGCCUUAUAAGUCAUAUGUGAAAGCCCACGGCUCAACCGUGGAAGUGCAUGUGAAACUGUGAGGCUUGAGUAUGGGAGAGGAAAGUGGAAUUCCCGGUGUAGAGGUGAAAUUCGUAGAUAUCGGGAGGAAUACCGGUGGCGAAGGCGACUUUCUGGACCAAUACUGACGCUGAGGCGCGAAAGCGUGGGUAGCAAACAGGAUUAGAUACCCGCGUAGUCC
rnacentral:rRNA from 1 species